rnacentral:lncRNA from 1 species
CGGAGUUCAUUCUUUGACUGCGUGAACAAGAACCCAGAUUCUGGUAACAUCUUUCCGGCAUCACUUUCAUGUUCACUGUAUUUCAGAGUUUAGAUUAGUGACUGACUCCUGUAGUUGGCGCUCAGUACUUAGCAUGGUGUGUCUGAAAAAUUACAAAGAGCCCAUUGUUGCUUAGACAAGGGAAGGAGUCACCAGAGAUGAAAAUGGAAGACAGGUCAAGAUAGGUUGCCUAGGACCGCAUGAGCCUGGACGUAAUCAGUGGGGGUUAAUGAAUGGAGGUGAAUGAUCAGUAUGUGUUUUGGACAGGUUCCUCGGGCUGCAUUGUCACAUGUGCAUUGGAUGGGGUAGAGACUAGAGAUCUGGGGUUGGGAGCCAGGUUAGUGUAGAAAGGAGACAGCCUGGACAGAUACGACUUUGUCCUAGAACUGAAGGGACCACUGCUGAAGAGGAGAAAUCUCUAAUAACAUAGGUUUCCAUCUGGGCCCAGAGGUUGAAGUAUGAUACUGUCAACUAGAAUGGGCAUACGAGCAGAGGGAUGAGACCAGUCCUGGAGUUGUGUGUAUGAAAUGCUUGAAGGAAGUUUAAGAGGUGGCUCUUGGGACCUGGAAGACCUACAUUCCCUACACAUAAAGGGGGUAGAACUUGGGAACCAGCGGCAAGGUGGGUCUCACAUGAGUAAAAACUCAAAUUCCCCCAAAAAACUCAAAUGGAACCACCCCUGUGGUAUUGCCACUUCUGCUUUCUUCUAGAAGCUAGCGCUGAAGCUGACCUCAGGACUAUCUUAUUUUCCGAAAGAUCUGAACUGCAGAGGGUCAUUCUGCCCUUGAAAAGAAACCAAGAUAAAAGGAAACAGCUCUCAGGAAUUAUAAGCAAAACACAACCAGACACUCACUGCGGAUUGCCCCAUUUUCCACCUCUUUAAUGUUUACUGAAUGCCUGCUAUGUGCAAGAUACUGAUUCUUCCUCUGCUGUGACUUUUGGAUAAUCCAGACUUGAAUUGAGGGGGCAUUGCUGGCUUGAAAAUGAUCCAAGAGCAGAAGAAACACUUCUCAAAAUCAUCCACCAAACAAACAAAAAUUGAGAAACGUAGAUUUUUUGUUUGUUUUUUCUCUUCAAGAAUGAACCAGGACUCUAACUUUGGGUUUUCAGUAAGUCAUAUAUCCUGUCUACUAAAGCCUUCCAUUUUCAUUUUUUGAUUCAUCUUAUCUGUAAGACGAAUUAAUCACACACUUCUAUGACUUCUCCUUUGGCCACGUUAUCAUUCUCAGACUGUCCUGAAUUGAAUUAUUAGGAAAUACAGGCCUUGGAAAUGAAGCCAAGAUAAAAGGAAAAUACUCAUGUCCCUACUUUCCCUUAGGAAAUAAAGCAG